rnacentral:rRNA from 1 species
UACGAAGGGGGCUAGCGUUGCUCGGAAUUAUUGGGCGUAAAGGGUGCGUAGGCGGCCUGACAAGUCUGAUGUGAAAUCCCUGGGCUCAACCCAGGGCCUGCAUCGGAAACUGUCGGGCUUGAGUAUGGGAGAGGUGAGUGGAAUUUCCGGUGUAGCGGUGAAAUGCGUAGAUAUCGGAAGGAACACCUGUGGCGAAAGCGGCUCACUGGACCAUUACUGACGCUGAGGCACGAAAGCUAGGGGAGCAAACAGG